rnacentral:rRNA from 1 species
UACGUAGGGGGCAAGCGUUGUCCGGAAUCAUUGGGCGUAAAGCGCGUGUAGGCGGCCCAGUAAGUCCGUUCUGAAAGCCCGGGGCUCAACCCCGGGAGGCGGAUGGAUACUGCUGGGCUCGAGUACGGAAGAGGCGAGUGGAAUUCCCGGUGUAGCGGUGAAAUGCGCAGAUAUCGGGAGGAACACCAAUGGCGAAGGCAGCUCGCUGGGACGUUACUGACGCUGAGACGCGAAAGCGUGGGGAGCAAACAGG